rnacentral:lncRNA from 1 species
AUCAGCGUUGCGGCUCGAGGCAAAGCUGGUCCUGUGCCUGCUGUCCAUUGCCGCUAAGGCCUGCUGCUGCCAUUCAGGCGUGUCUCUCUCUCUCUCUCUCUUUCAUGCCGCUCUCUCCACCCCAUCUUGGGACGGCCAGCUCUAAGAAUUCCUGCUACGACACUGAAUUCAACCAGGAGGUGAUGCCACACUCAAUCAGAAACUAUGCUACUGCUGAAGAGGUAUAUUGAGCCCUGCCUGGUUAACCUCCAGUGAGGUUAUUAGAGAAUUGGGAGAGGCUCAAAUCAGCAUCCUGCACCUAGUUAUCAAACCAUUGUGAAGUCUUGAUUCCUGGAUGGCCAGAAAACUUGUCAUUGGUCAAGAGCAACAUUAAGAUCUGCCUGUUACUCAUACUGAUGCUUCCUGCCCAGCAAGUUCAUCAGAGGGCGAGGAUGAAUUACGGUUGCCAUGAAUGUCCUUGUGAGGCAGUUGGGAAGCCUUGGCUGGAUUGUGAAGGAUAUUUGAAAAGUAUUUUAGAGUCCACCAGAUCAUCCAUGUGAGUGACCAUGCAGCAAAAGAAGGAGGGUCCUCUCAGUGAUUAAGGUAACAUAGUGAUUAAGGUAAGUAGGGAAAGAGAGGCUUACUUUGCCCUGAUUCUUGUCAGGGAGGCUCUUAGAGAUGCCAUUUCCAGAGCAUAAGUGACAGGCCAGCAUUUUCAAAGCUUGCAACUUAUUCUAUAAUAUAUCCUUCUUAAAACAAUUCAUGUAGAUUAUAUGCUCACCCAGUCUGGGAUCACUCCUGCAGAAGAUCAGAAGAACUGAAAUAUAGGUGACAUAAGCUCCUGCUUUUGUAAAUGUUUUGUUGAAACACAGUUGUGUUCAUCCAUUAUUGUCGAUGGCAGCUUUCAUGCUACAGCAGAGUUGAGUAGUUGGGAGAGAAACCAAAUGGACCAUAGAGUUUGAAAUAUUACUGUCUGGCCCUUCACAGAAAGUUUGCCAAUUCCUGGCAUAGGUUAAAUAAAUGUACUAUAUCCACAAAUCCUCCUCUCCCCAUUUUCCUUUCAAUGGGACUUGCAUUUACAGUUGAUCCUAGAAUGUAUGGAAUCUCAUAGUAAUCAGCUUGCUUCUGAAUUUCUUCCCACUCAAAUUAAGCUCACUCAGAAAGCACAUUCACAAAUUGGGCUACAUAUACAGAAGGAGCUAUGUUUUAUAUGCCUCACUGUAGUCAACUCAUUUAUCCUAUAUGUAUGGUUCCCCCAUUUUUUCCUUCUUUUCAGGGGUAACUUUUAAACUUGAGCCAUUCAUGAGUAUCCAAAAAGUUACAACUUAUGUUCUCUAAUUAAGACUUCAUCCUUAUUUUAGUAUACUUCCCCUCUCUGGCUUUUUUGCAUAUUUCUGCAGAUGUCUUGACCUUUCUGGGGAGUAAGCCCCCUUAGAAGAUUAAUUUUCUGUAGUUCUCUAUUGAGGAAAUACAUGACAUUUAGCUUUUUAAUAAUUUGAUGCCAUUCAUUGAGUACCUACUGUGUGCUUUAUGUACCCUGUCUCGUUGAAUUUUUACAAAAAACUGAAAGAGUUAGUUUUGUGUUAUUACUACCUCCAUCUCAAAGAUGAGUCUUGGAAAGCUUAAGUAACUUUAGGUCACAUUGUAAUCAGUGGCAGAACUGGGACUUAAGAACAUAAUUCAUGACUGCAUUUUCUUUUCUUUCUUUCUCUUUCUUUCUCUCUCUCUCUUUUUUUUUUUUUUUUAAAGAGAUAGCAUCUCACUCACUAUGUUGCCCAGACUGGUCUUGAACUCUUGGGCUCAAGCAAUUCUUCCACCUCCGCCUCCCAAAGUGUUAGGAUUAUAGGCAUGAGCCCUCAUGCCUGCCCCUUGCAUUUUCUAUUUAAGUGAUCUUGAAGUUUUUUUUUUUCUUUUUUAAAUCUCGGAAUUUGGCCUUUAGUAAGCAUAGAAUAGCAAAGUGUAAUACCUGAGCUGGGGGAAAAAGUCCUUGAAUUCUUUAGGAAAGACUUAAUUGGUGGGUACAAAGUGAAAUGCUCACUGGAAUCAGGAAUCAGAAACCAGUUCUGAUCACCUAUCCCUACAUAUCCUUCUUCACUCUGCCCUGGCAUAUCAUGGUUGAUGUACAUAGCAAUGAUCAUCCCUUCUGUAAUCCCACUUGACAGUUUAGAAGUGGAUUGAUAAUACUCUUCUGGCUUAAAACCCUUCUUCUCUGGGCAGGUGUGGUGGCUCCUACAUUAUCCCAGCACCUUGGGAGGCCGAGAUGGGAGGAUUGUGUGAGCCCAGGAGUUUGAGACCAGCCUGGGUAACAUAGCAAGACCCUGUCUCCACAAAAAAAUAAAAAAUUAACUGGGCACGGUGGUGCUCACGCCUGUAAUCCCAGCACCUGGGGAGGCCGAGGCGGGUGGAUCACGAGGUCAAGAGAUCGAGACCAUCCUGGCCAACAUGGUGAAACCCCGUCUGUACUAAAAAUACAAAAAUUAGCCAGGCGUGAUAGCAGGCGCCUGUAGUUCCAGCUAUGGGAGGCUGAGGCAGGAGAAUCAGAUGAACCUGGGAGACGGAGGUUGCAGUGAGCUGAGAUCACGCCACUGCACUCCAGCCUGGUGACAGAGUGACACUCCGUCUCAAAAAAAAAAAGAAACGAUCACAUCCAGAUGUCCUGUUACUGGAAGGGCACCAUAGUUUAUCCUGCACCUAACACUAAUACACCUACUCUGGGAAUUCUUCUACCUACAACUAUUUAUUUAUCUGAUCCCAUCUGGUAUUAAAGUUCUAAAAGUUAACAGAAUUCUUAAAGGUUCCCAAUGCCUCCCAGAAACCCCAUCAUCUCAAAAUCACUAGCUAUUAAAAGAAGCAAAAAAAAAAAAAAAAAAAGGUGGCUCCUGACCUAGUCUCUUUGAGUAUGAAGACCUAUUUACUAUGUAAAGCUGUCACCUGCCUUGAAAAGAUUAAGACAGCAAGAAAGUUCUUAGAAAGUGGGUAUGUGGCUGGCCUCAGAUAAGGAUAAAUUGCUGAGAAGAAGGAGUUGGGUUUUUUUUGUGUUUUUUUGUUUCUUGUUUUUGAGACAGGGUCUUGCUCUAUCUCCCAGGCUGGAGUGCAAUGGUGCGAUCACAGCUCACUGCAGCCUCAACCUCCCAGACUCAAAUAAUCCUCCCUCCUCAGCCUCCCAAGUAGCUAGGACUACAGGAUGCACCACCGUGCCCAUUGUUUCUAUAUCAGGGUCUUAUAAUAUGGCAGACACAAUGGCCUCCCACAGAGAAAUGAGCCAUAAAAGGACCCUGUAAAAGCAAGGAUGGCUCAUUGUUUUAAGACAGCCAAAUGUAUGGCACUUGGAGAAUUUCAAAGAGUAGAAGGCCUUCUUGAUUGCACUCCCCUUUAACAGCCUUGCCUCUUAUGGGGCUAUGUGGAUCGUUGAAAUGGUUCACAAGUAAAGUGAAAAAUGGUUAUGCGUAGUGUGUCAGCCCCACCCUAAGCUCCCAGAGCCUCCAUUCUGAGUACAAAGGUCAGUUUUCUUCUCGGGACAGGCCAAGGAUGAUGGGGUUUUAAUUUCUCUCCUGAUCCAUGGCAAAGCAUUCCUAAACUAGGCACUGGAAGUCUUGGUAACUGGAAAGAGACAUUCACCAAGAUGAGGAAGGCCAAAACCAAGUGCCUUAUAUAGUCCCUAGAAAGCAUUUCAUUUUAUGGAACAAUCUUUGGUCUCUCUUUUUUUUUUUUUUUUUGUGAGACAGUGACUCAGGCUGGAGUACAGUGAUUAGGUCACUGCUCAUUGCAGCCUCAACUUCCCGUGCUCAGGUGAUCCUCUCACCUCAACUUCCCGAGUAGUUGGGACUGCAAGCAAGCGCCACCAUGCCCAGCUAAUUUUUUGUAUUUUUUUGUAGAGACGGGGUUUUCCCAUGUUGCCCAGGCUGGUCUCAAACUUCUGGACUCAAGCAAUCCACCUGCCUUCGCCUCCCAAAGUGCUGGGAUUACAGGUGUAAGCUACCAUGCCCAGCUCUGGUCUCCUUUCUUAAUCCUGUUGAAUAAGGAAGAUUUUUUUUAUCUGAACCCUCCUCUUACUCUUCUUUCUGUUCUCCUUCCAUGAUCACUUUGUCCAUCUUCCUCUUUGUCAUAGGCAUGUCCUAUUUCUAAUUCCCUUUCUCUUUUCUUUGGUAGGCUAGCCUUCGAGACUGCAUUACCCUCCCCAACUUAAAAUCUUUUGAUAACCCAGGCAGCUGGGUUAUCCCCAAUUUAAAGUCUUUUUGUUGUAGCUGUAUGGCAUUUAUCUAGAGCAUGGGGUACACACAGUAGGUUUCUCUCCUCUCUUUUUUAACAUAUUUAUUAUGUUUAUGCAUGUAAAGAGUUUGUUGUUGGCCAGGCCUGAUGGCUCACGCCUCUAAUCCCAGCACUUUGGGAGGCUGAGGCGGGAGGUCAGGAGUUCGAGAGCAGCCUGGCCAACGUGAUGAAACCCUGUCUCUACUAAAAAUACAAAAAUUAGUGGAACAGGGUGGCUCAUGCCUGUAAUUGCAGCUACUCAGGAGGCUGAAGUAGGAGAAUCACUUGAGCCUGGGAGCUGAGAUCGUGCCAUUACACUCCAGUCUGGGUGACAGAGGGAAACUCUGUUUCAAAAUCAACAACAACAAAAAAAAGUUUAAAAAUUGGAAACCACCAAAAGGUAGUAUUAAAAGGGAAAUAAAAAUUACUCAUAAUCCCAGAACGCAGUCAUAUGCUAUUUUUAGUCUUAUUUUAUUCAGCCAUUUUUCUCUUUACACAAACUUUUUUUUUUUUUUUUGAGAUGGAGUCUCACUCUGUUGCCUGAGCUGGAGUGCAGUGGUGCGAUCUCGGCUCACUGCAACCUCCGCCUCUUGGGUUCAAGCGAUUCUCCUGCCUCAGCCUCCUGAGUAGCUGGGACUACAGGCGACCGCCAUUACACUCAGCUAAUUUUUUGUAUUUUUAGUAGAGACGGGGUUUCACCAUGUUCACUGGGCUGGUCUCGAACUCCUGACCUCAUGAUUCGCCCACCUCGGCCUCCCAAAGUGGUGGGAUUACAAGCAUGAGCCACUGUGCCCUCCCUACAGGUUUUAAAAUUUAUUAUUAUCUAAAUAUUCAUUUUAAAUGUUAAUUUUAGUGUACUUCUUUGAUUAUUUUCUUUAGAGAAAUUUCUGAUUUCAGAACCAAGUUUAUUAGCAUUCACUGUAUACAUUAGCACCAUUAAAACUAGCUAGACCCAAGAAGCAGUAUUGAAUGGGUACCCCUUCUUUACUUUCCUCUGAUUCACUCUACUCUGGUGCUCACAGCUAAGUAAGUAUGUACAGCAAUGGCCUGUCAUUUGGUCGAUUAUCUUUUGUGCUCUGAAAUGUCUUUGUUUUUUCAUCUGCUCUCAAUACCUCUGUGCUCUGAUCCUUUGUAUAUAAGGGUAACCAUAUUUGUUCUUUCCUGUGAAAUAAUAAUUCUUUUCCUUCCAUUCAGAGUAGCUGCCUGACUCAUACAAUGAAUAAAGUCACAUAGACUCAAAGAGUGGAGAUGGAGGUCGGAUGUGGUGGCUCGUGCCUGUAAUCCCAACACUUUGAGAGGCUGAGGUGGGAGGAUCGCUUGAGCUUGAGCACAGGAGUUUGAGAUCAGUCUGGGCAACGUAGUGAGAUCUCAUCUCUGCCAAAAAAUAAAAAUUAGCUGGGUGUGGUGGUGCAUGGCUGUAGUCUCAUGUAGUCCCAGCUACUUGGGAGGCUGAGGUGGGGGGUCACACAUACUUUUUGUUGUUACUGCUUCAUCAUUGGUUCUGAUCACUCAGUGUUCUUUCCCUUACACCAGAUCAUAAUACAGUAUUCUGACUAGGCAACUUAGCUCAGUUUAUUACGAAUAGCCUUAAUUAAUUUGGUAAAUUACUAUGAAUGAACAUUUCAUUCAUUCUGCUAGGUCUAGGUUUUGCCAGCUGUUCCAUUAAGGGACACUAUGGCACGGGUUGGCAAACUUUUUCUGUAAAGGGCUAGGUAGUCUCUCUAUUCAACUCUGCUGUUGUAGCAUGAAAACAUCCAUAGACAAUAUGGAUACAAAUGAGCAUGAUUAUGUUCUGAUAAAACCUGAUUUACAAAAACAGGUAGUAGGUUGGAUUUGGCCCAGGGGCCAUAGCAUGCUGACCCCUGCUCUACAGUAUACAUACACAAAGACUUUCAAACAAAGAUGUAUACAAUAAAACAACCAUUCAGAGUUAUUUGAUUCACAGUGUGUAUAAUAUAAUAAAAAUAAUACAGCUGUAUUUGAGUCAGCACUGAAAAGUCUCUUGUGAUCUGUGUCUUACGUGCAUGAAUUGCAGAAUAUUCAUACGAAUACCAUGAAUAUUCUUCACGGGCCAUGUUAUUACCAUCCCUUAGAGGAAUCUCUUCCUUGUCGUGGGUCUUUCUUUGUAUGGCUUAGAAGUGAUGUUGUCUUUAUAUUGUGUUAUUUGUUCUUAACUUUACAUUAUCAGCUCUGGUGUGCUUACCUUUUUCACCAACGUGUCUUCUACCCUACUUACCUCAUAAGUGAAUCUAAUACAGAGGUUAUUUUGGAUAUAAUCAUUAUCUUAACAGGCAAGAUAGUGGGCUGUGCUAUUUCAAACCCUAAAUUUGGCUUUCAGGAUUAUGAAGUAUUAAUUCUUCCACUGAUAUCUCAAAAGGUGAUCUGGACAAAGGAACAGGUAUCUCAGAUCUUGGGACACCCAGCACGUGACAAAAACAACAGCAGACCCUGGUGCCUGGGAGGACUUCAUGGAUCCAGCAGCAACCUGGAGUGGUGCUCCUCUGAAGAAAUCCUACUCGGAUGGAUAUAAUACAACCUGCUAAGUGUCCUAGCACUUAGCAGGUUGUAUUAUCAUUGUCCGUGUCUAUGGCUCUCGUCUACCAGACUUUAAAUUCCUUAAGGGCAAGGACAGUGCCUUACUCAUCUUUGUAUUCACAGUGCCUAAUCCGGUGCACAUUGUAGGCCUCAUUAAAUGUUUGUUGAAUGAAAAAAUGAAUCAUCAACAGACAUUAAUUGGGCGCCUGCUCUGUGAUCUCCAUGGGCUCAGCUUGUCCCCGCCAGUUGCCAACAACGUCCAAGCUCUCUUCAGAAUGCUUACUCCUGAAGCUUAUUCCUGUCUUCUAAUUCUUUUGUUGAGGACUUUUCUGUGUAGUGCAAUGAUAGCAAAUACACUUCAUCUCAAGUACCAUCUCCAAUUGAUUGAUAAUGCCUGCCCUGAUUAUGUUUUAUAACAAGAUUCUGAAACCAGGUCUUAUCUCAGUGUGAAAGACAUUUAUAACUAUUUAGUGAUGUCUGCUGAGGGUCGGAGAAGGGGGAGUAGCAGCACAAGUGCCUCAUAUGUCAUAUUUGCUACUCUGUUUUCUAUGAAAUACUUCAUUUCUAUGCCUGCAUUUUGGUCUUAGCUACUUGCUGAUGUUGCAUGGCUGUUGCUGCUACUGUAAUUGCUGCUAAUUGCUCCCUGGGUUGGACCAGAGUGCUCAUUGUCUGAACAGAAACCUCAUCCUCACAGUCUGAGGUUUGCUCCUGUGGCUGAUAUUUAAAGUUUUCCCCUUUCAACUUUACUCCAGCUAUCCCCUUACCUGCACUGACAGGUAAUCCUCCACCGUCCUGUUCACCUCUCACCAGGUUCAUAUUUUCUUUAUCUUAUUUAUUGUACUUAAUCAUUAUUUUGUGAGAAGCUUUUCUGAUUGUAGAUGUGACAACCAGAAUACAAGUUAAAACCACUUAUCCAGCGCCUUACAGUGAAUCAUUUAACAUGAGAAAAAAAUUGAGUGUGUUUGCAGACCAUGGGGCAGAAGGAAUUGAGAAGGGAGUCAUUGUAGAUGUGAGAAAGAGAGAGAUGAUAAUAGAUGGAAGAUGAUCUUGAAAGAUGAUGCAGGUGAAGCUGGAAGGGUGAAAUUUAUGGCUCUAGAACACAUGCAGGUGGAGGGUUAGCCUUAGGUAAGUGGAACUACCUCUUUGCUGGAGCACAGAGAUAGGGAUAGGAGUAAGGAAGAGGACUUGGCAAGGGUGGUGAAGAUUUGUAAUUGUAGAGGUGGAUGAUGGGGAGGAAGCUGACCAGGAACAGGAAUAUGAAGACAAAAGCUGCUGGAACAGAAAUACUAGAGGGCUAAAUAUGAACCAGAGUCCCUAAGGAAUAUUCAGGCCAAAACGCUGGAGUGAGACCAUUAACAGGAGAGCUUAUGGUAUAUCAAAGUAAGAAAUGAGUUUGAAACUGGGUUAGAAGCUCAGGAAAAUAUGAAGUGGUUUUGGGGCAUUGUCACUAGCAGUAUUUGGUUGCCUUGAUUGAUUGAGGGGUGGACAGCUAGCAAGAGACGAGUUACACAGAAAUGGAUUUAAGAAUCCAAACUAAGGCCGGGCGCGGUGGCCCACACCUGUAAUCACAGCACUUUGGAAGGCCAAGGUGGGCAGGUCACCUGAGGUCAGGAGUUCGAGACCAGCCUGACCAACAUGGUGAAACCCUGUCUCUACUAAAAAUGCAAAAAUUAGCCAGGUGUGGUGGCACAUGCCUGUAAUCCCAGCUACUCAGGAGGCUGAGGCAGGAGAAUCACUUGAACCCAGGAGGCGGAGGUUGCAGUGAGCCGAGAUCCCACCCACUGUACUCCAGCCUGGGUAACAGAGUGAGACUUCAUUUAAAAAAAAAAAUCCAACCUGGACAUGGAAGGAAGUAAGGUCAGGAGUGGCCUCAGUCUGGGCCAAAAAGAGGCUUUAAUGUGAACAAGGUGAGUGCUGAGUAAUUGGAAAACUGGAGUGAUAGGACCUGUAAUCAGAGUAGACUUUGGAGUGUUAGAUUUCAAAACUGGAGUGGUUAAGAUACCUGUGAAGCUAGGAUGUCAGAUGAUCAUUUACAUGACUAUUAUAGUAACCCAGGAUUAUAGUAGAAGCUAGGCUUAGAAUGAACACUGGGCCAGGUACAAAAGGCUUCAGUGACUGUGAGGAAUGACUUGGAGGUUGGCACAUGUUAACUGCAAAUACUAGAGAAGAAAGGCUGUAGUGGGAUAGUAGAUGAGCCUUAGAAGAGUGGGGGGAUCCAGGUGAUUCCUUCUUUUAUUGAGUAUUUGCUCUAUGCCUGACACCUUGCUAUAUGCCAUCUGUUCCCUCUUUUGGGUCUGUCACACUUCAGGAGUGGGAGAAUGCGCAAGAAUUCCUGGUGAGAACAGCUAGGGGAGCUGUUGGCCUUUAGCACUGCUGGAAUCCUGUGGCCGUCUCCUAACUCUUUCAAAGAGCUGCAGGCUGGUCAGCUUGAAGUGGCAUAAAAAGAUUUAUUUAGGAUCUAAAUUUUUCCUUGAUCUUGACCUAAGUUAGUUACAUGUUACAAGCAUUUGUUGGCCAUGUUCCAUAAUGUACUUUGGCUUCUGAGCCUCUGAGUUGAAGAGUGAGCUAGUGCUGCUCUUAAAAAACAACAACAAAAACAAAAAACCAGUCAUAGUACACACAUGUUGAUUAACCGGAGCAAGACACAAUCCUAUUAAUUCAGCUUUUUAGGAUAAAGGGUAGACAAAAGAAAGCUCACAUCAAUAGGUGAGUAACAACUACUUUGUAAAAGCCACUCUAGGGUCAGAAUACAUCCAGUUUAGUGGUCCAUAUUGUAGAAUUUCCCUGUGCUGUUAGGGAAGAGGGCUGGCAAUUGAGGCACAGAGAUGGCCUUAAGGACAAGGAAGGUAAAGCUUAGGAGAAGAGAGUCUAUAAAACCUCUGACAUGGCAUGCAGACAUUUUUCUUUUGAGUACAUUUUACUGGGGAGAGGAUCCAUGUCUUUUAUAUUCUCCAAAUGACUCAAUAUUCCAAAAGAAGUUUAAGAACUACUGUGUUAAAGUGAUCAGGCCCUCAGACAACCCAUCCCCUCUUGUAG